rnacentral:rRNA from 1 species
AUCUACGGCCAUGCUACCCUGAACAAGCCCGAUCCCAUCUGAUCUCUGAAGUUAAGCAGGGUCGGGCCUGGUUAGUACUUGGAUGGGAGACCACCUAGGAAGACUAGGUGAUGUAGAUG